GUACUCACUUUGGCAGCACAUAUACUAAAAUUGGAAGGAUUAGAAGAUGAGCAUGGCUCCUGUGCAAGGAUGACACACAAAUUCAUGAAGUGUUCCAUAUUUUU
ensembl:snRNA Gm22294 U6 spliceosomal RNA